ACGAUGGAUAGGGGUUCUGAGAGGAAGGUCCCCCACAUUGGAACUGAGACACGGUCCAAACUCCUACGGGAGGCAGCAGUGAGGAAUAUUGGUCAAUGGACGAGAGUCUGAACCAGCCAAGUAGCGUGAAGGAUGAAGGUCCUACGGAUUGUAAACUUCUUUUAUAAGGGAAUAAACCCUCCCACGUGUGGGAGCUUGUAUGUACCUUAUGAAUAAGCAUCGGCUAACUCCGUGCCAGCAGCCGCGGUAAUACGGAGGAUGCGAGCGUUAUCCGGAUUUAUUGGGUUUAAAGGGAGCGCAGACGGGUCGUUAAGUCAGCUGUGAAAGUUUGGGGCUCAACCUUAAAAUUGCAGUUGAUACUGGCGUCCUUGAGUGCGGUUGAGGUGUGCGGAAUUCGUGGUGUAGCGGUGAAAUGCUUAGAUAUCACGAAGAACUCCGAUUGCGAAGGCAGCACACUAAGCCGUAACUGACGUUCAUGCUCGAAAGUGUGGGUAUCAAACAGGAUUAGAUACCCUGGUAGUCCACACGGUAAACGAUGGAUACUCGCUGUUGGCGAUAUACUGUCAGCGGCUUAGCGAAAGCGUUAAGUAUCCCACCUGGGGAGUACGCCGGCAACGGUGAAACUCAAAGGAAUUGACGGGGGCCCGCACAAGCGGAGGAACAUGUGGUUUAAUUCGAUGAUACGCGAGGAACCUUACCCGGGCUUAAAUUGCAAAGGAAU
rnacentral:rRNA from 1 species